ensembl:snoRNA
CUCUUGGGUCCUCGAUACAGCCCUGGAAUGAGCCCGCAAUAUUUUCCUUAUAUGAUCAGGUUCCAUUGCUGCUUGCCCAGAGCCUGAGAUGAUUAUGAAAACGUGGCAGGCGAAGUGGGGCCAGGGACCCGGAG